rnacentral:rRNA from 1 species
GAUGAACGCUGGCGGUCCUGUAUAAGAGAUGCAAGUCGAACGAGGUAAAUGAGAUGAAGCCCUCGGAUGGAUUCUUAUUUACCGAGUGGCGGACGGGUGAGUAACGCGUGGGUAACCGGCCUCAUACAGGGGGAUAACGAUUGGAAACGAUUGCUUAUACCGCAUAAGCGCACAGUACCACAUGGUACGGUGUGAAAAACUCCGGUGGUAUGAGAUGGACCCGCGUCUGAUUAGCUAGUUGGUGAGGUAACGGCCCACCAAGGCGACGAUCAGUAGCCGACCUGAGAGGGUGACCGGCCACAUUGGGACUGAGACACGGCCCAGACUCCUACGGGAGGCAGCAGUGGGGGAUAUUGCACAAUGGAGGAAACUCUGAUGCAGCGACGCCGCGUGAGUGGAGAAGUAUUUCGGUAUGUAAAGCUCUAUCAGCAGGGAAGAAAAUGACGGUACCUGACUAAGAAGCCCCGGCUAACUACGUGCCAGCAGCCGCGGUAAUACGUAGGGGGCAAGCGUUAUCCGGAUUUACUGGGCGCAAAGGGAGCGUAGACGGCGACGCAAGUCUGAAGUGAAAUACCCGGGCUCAACCUGGGAACUGCUUUGGAAACUGUGUUGCUAGAGUGCUGGAGAGGUAAGCGGAAUUCCUAGUGUAGCGGUGAAAUGCGUAGAUAUUAGGAAGAACACCAGUGGCGAAGGCGGCUUACUGGACAGUAACUGACGUUGAGGCUCGAAAGCG